ACAAGUCGCCAACAAGAGGUGAGAUAUUCAAUGUCAAGAGACAGACUCCAGGUCAUUGGGCUUGAAAAGGACCUUAGCUGUUGCCUCAACCAGCGUGUCCCCACCUGAGCAUCCUGCAAGUGAGGAACUGAGACCCAGACAGGUCCUAAGUCCACUCAAGGAAAGUACAGCCCUUUUUCAAAGCUCUCGGCACAGAGAUAUCCUGCCACGUGUCACUGACUCACAGGGGCAGAUCAAAGCUAUUCUUACAUCCAUCCCUUCAACUUGACCUGAGAAAUAAAGAAAGCUGAAGGCAAAAGGGGACCCGUCAAACUCGGAGACUGUAAACGUCUCCAGGAGCAUUUUCUCGGUGACCAGAUGUUACACAGCUGCAUUGCAAAUUGUCGUCAGAGCUCAAAAGACAAGGGAAGAGAGGAUUGUUGGAACCACGAAGGCAUAUGACACAGUAAACGGUGCAUUUAAUUUCGACUUAAUGGGAGAGAUAGCGUGCAUUAGACAAAUACCAUCUGAUCAUUAAAAACAUAUUUAUGGAAGUAUAGCAACUUUGUCAGGGAUGUGUGACUAAUCACACCGAGCUGUGAGUCCUCAAAAACAUAUUUGUCUUAAUCGACUGGUGUUUAGUUUGGAUUAUUGACUGUUAAAUCAAAAUAGAAGUUUUCACUUGAGAUUU